rnacentral:rRNA from 1 species
AUUGAACGCUGGCGGCAUGCCUUACACAUGCAAGUCGAACGGCAGCACGGGUGCUUGCCCCUGGUGGCGAGUGGCGAACGGGUGAGUAAUACAUCGGAACAUGUCCUGUAGUGGGGGAUAGCCCGGCGAAAGCCGGAUUAAUACCGCAUACGAUCUACGGAUGAAAGCGGGGGACCUUCGGGCCUCGCGCUAUAGGGUUGGCCGAUGGCUGAUUAGCUAGUUGGUGGGGUAAAGGCCUACCAAGGCGACGAUCAGUAGCUGGUCUGAGAGGACGACCAGCCACACUGGGACUGAGACACGGCCCAGACUCCUACGGGAGGCAGCAGUGGGGAAUUUUGGACAAUGGGCGAAAGCCUGAUCCAGCAAUGCCGCGAGUGUGAAGAAGGCCUUCGGGUUGUAAAGCACUUUUGUCCGGAAAGAAAUCCUUGGCCCUAAUACGGUCGGGGGAUGACGGUACCGGAAGAAUAAGCACCGGCUAACUACGUG